rnacentral:rRNA from 1 species
UACGUAGGGUCCGAGCGUUGUCCGGAAUUAUUGGGCGUAAAGGGCUCGUAGGCGGUUCGUCACGUCGGGAGUGAAAACUCGGAGCUUAACUCCGAGCCUGCUUCCGAUACGGGCAGACUAGAGGUAGGUAGGGGAGAGCGGAACUCUUGGUGUAGCGGUGGAAUGCGCAGAUAUCAGGAAGAACACCGGUGGCGAAGGCGGCUCUCUGGGCCUUACUUGACGCUGAGGAGCGAAAGCGUGGGUAGCGAACAGG